rnacentral:rRNA from 1 species
AACACUGGAACGGUGGCUAAUACCGGAUGUGCCGGAAGGUGAAAGGCUUGCUGCCUGAAGAUGAGCUCGCGUCCGAUUAGCUAGUAGGUGGGGUAAGAGCCUACCUAGGCGACGAUCGGUAGCUGGUCUGAGAGGAUGACCAGCCACACUGGGACUGAGACACGGCCCAGACUCCUACGGGAGGCAGCAGUGGGGAAUUUUCCGCAAUGGGCGAAAGCCUGACGGAGCAAUACCGCGUGAGGGAGGAAGGCUCUUGGGUUGUAAACCUCUUUUCUCAGGGAAGAACACAAUGACGGUACCUGAGGAAUCAGCAUCGGCUAACUCCGUGCCAGCAGCCGCGGUAAUACGGAGGAUGCAAGCGUUAUCCGGAAUGAUUGGGCGUAAAGCGUCCGCAGGUGGCUGUGUAAGUCUGCUGUCAAAGAGCAAAGCUCAACUUUGUAAAGGCAGUGGAAACUACACGGCUAGAGUGCGUUCGGGGCAGAGGGAAUUCCUGGUGUAGCGGUGAAAUGCGUAGAGAUCAGGAAGAACACCGGUGGCGAAGGCGCUCUGCUAGGCCGCAACUGACACUGAGGGACGAAAGCUAGGGGAGCGAAAGGGAUUAGUACCCCCGGGUAAGUCAA